CCAAUCUUGCAACUUUGGCGCUAACAAAAGGACUCGAACUCGCCCAAAGUCAAAGGCUCGUCUAAAUGGCUGGGAGUAUGGUCUUCAUCCUUCCAGUCCCCCUUCUCGAUGGAAACGAGAUACUCGCAAGAUCGCGGUGCAGCUAAAGACGACGUGCACCGCCUGAAAUAUUUCUUGCAAAACAGCCUGAAGUGAUGUUGCCAGUGCUACAUAAUCCGAUGAUCGUAAUGAAACAAACCAAACCAAAACCCCACCAGAAAUAUUUCAGACGCUCCGACUCACAUUGGCUAGCUGUGAUCUGGAAAGAGGGGAGGCAGGAAAG